CCUGUGGAGUGUUAAGCAAACUGUAGUAGCAGGAUAGACGCGAGGCAGAACACGAUGAAGCAGGAA
rnacentral:sRNA from 12 species